GGCCAAGGGGUGGGGCGUGAUUAAAACUAGUGCGCGGCCGGCAGCGGAGGGAUUAUGCUGAGGGAAGAGACUGGCGCGCGUCUUGCUGCGGCCUGGCCCGCGCGAGCCCGAGUCGGAAGCCGACGCGCCCUUGAGUGACCUGGUGGGCGGGCGAGGGACGGGCUCCCGAGACGGCGAAGGGUGCAAUGGAGGCUCUUGGCCGGCACGUCCCCGCGGCGCCUCUGUCUCGGCGACUGUGGGCCGCGCGAGGCUUCCCUCCAAAAGCUUUGGUGAGAGCCGAGCUGCCCCAGUGCGUGUUCACAAAGGGUUACCACACACGGCGCUGCCCCUCCCUGUCUCCCUAAACCCCAUCUUCGAGGCCAGGGGCUUUUCUGCCCGGAUUCUGGGGUGUUUCUCCUCCUUUCCUCCCUCCCAGAUCUUCUAACGGUUGGAUUCCUUACUUAAUCACAAAACAAGUCUGGCCCAAACUGGGAUGUAAAAGCUGCAUGUUGGUUCUGGUCUCAUCAAAAAGAUGAGAGUUGAAGUGACUAACCAUGUUUUCUAAAAGCACUUUUAGACCCAAAUGCUUAUCUCCAAAGAUGGAAGAGGAAGCUUAAAACAAUAAUUUGCAGAAAAGUCCUGCCUUUGCAGAGAUCUAGUGUAAUGCAAGCAUAUGCUGUUGAGGGGCCCGAAUCUUCGCUGCCUCCGCCCCUCUGCACUAGCAGGAACCCCAGUUUUCAGGGGACGCGACCUCAGCCUGUCGCCGUCACUUUUGAAGUUCUGUUAAAAAUCUGGGGCCUCUAAUCUCAACGGUUUUGGAGGUGAGUUUGGGGUAGGAAGGGGGGGGGAGGCCUGUGGGUGUCUGUUUUGUCCGACGAGUUGGAGACCCUUGUGAAAAAGUCAGGCCCGUGCCGCUCCGGCGGCCGCUCCGGCGUGGGGCCGGCUUGGGUUAGACACAUGCACACACACCAUAGAGCUCGCUUUCCCGUAGCAGCUGCUGCCUCUGCCUCUGCCUCUCCCGCCUCAGCCUCUUUGCCCGGCUUCCACACACAUUCAGAUUUGCGCGCUGUUUCAAUCCUUGAUGACGUGUCCCCGGAGACAGCCAAUAGCCGACGGGCUCUGGUCAGGACAAUGGGAGGGAGCAGGCCAAUGAGCGGGCUCCGUGAGUUGGCGGUAGCCAAUAGCAGGCGCGCUGGCUGGAGAGUAAUGUUACAGAGCGGAGAGAGUGAGGAGGCUGCGUCUGGCUCCCGCUCUCACAGCCAUUGCAGUACAUUGAGCUCCAUAGAGACAGCGCCGGGGCAAGUGCGAGUCGGACGGGCACUGGGCGACUCUGUGCUCGCUGAGG